AUGGUAAAGAAUGGGUGGGUCCUGCCUGGGGCUAUUUUAGGGGGAGGGUUUCUCUCACUUUGCUUGGGCACGGAGCAGUUGCAGAAGAGGGGUUUAUGGUGGGCUUCCCUGGGGGUACCUCAUGGAAUGAUACUGAGACCAUCUCAUAGGAUCUGGGAGAACAGCUGGAUGCGUUUGGACAUGGAGCAUUGCUUAAAGGAGGUGCCGAGGGAGAAACCUUUGUGUCUGGAAGCAGCAUCGGAGCAAGGCCAAAUACGAGUGGCAAAACAACGUUGGCAUGGAACUGCUGCAGGAGAGGAGUUUCUGGUGGGCUCCCAGUGGCAUCUGAUGGAGUGACGCUGCAGGCAGGAACCCUAAAGCAGCAGAGUGCCAGAACCCACGAGAGGUGCAGGCAGUUCCCUGGUGCUAGGGCCAGCCAGGAAGAGAUAGUGGGGGGACGAUCCGCAGGGUUGGGGAAACAGGGGGUUUCCCGCCCCACCCCACCCUGGGCUCUCUGUCCCUCCGCAGCCGGGGAUUGCUCCCAGCCCUCCUCGAGGCGGCGGUUGGUAAGGCUUCGUGCCUGGCCUCCGCAAAGAGUUCGGCUCUGUCAGCCUCUGCCCUGUCUCAGGGCCAAACUUAGGUAGGGUAGGGAGCAACUGUGGAUUGCCUGGUCCGGGCUAAGGGACAUCUCUUGGGGCCUAUGGAUAAGGAGCAUCCCCGGUUGCAAGCGUAGGGUUGUAAGUUUGUAGGGUUCAGUGGGGCAGCUUGGCAGUGACACAGAGAGGCUGAGGGAGGGCUUCAGAGGUCAAGGGCUCGAGGGCUGGAGACAAACAGUGAAAAUAAAAGGGGUACAGGUUGGGAUAUAAGGUAGAGU
rnacentral:lncRNA from 1 species